AGGAAAAAAUAUUUAAUUGAUGGAACUACACUUGGAUUAGGACUGCCUUGCUGGUACCAUCAAUGCCGCUCACCAGAGAUGCGCUGGUACCCUAUCGAAGCCGGUCAUCAGAGGUGCGCUGGACCCCUUAUGUCUACGCGCUGUUCUAUGGGCAACAUGUAGUGGUUUUAGUGUAGUUCAAGCCUUGACGGACAUACUGUCUGUGUAUUUUCAUGCUGAUGGUAGAGAGUUCUUCCACACCUCGUGCAAAAAAAACCCCAGAAAAUCCUUGAUCGAUGGCCAAGAUGACAGACGAAGACUUUAUUCAGGUUUAAAAAGGCAAGAAGACAGUGUUUGACAUUAUUGAAAGAGGUAGAAAAAGAAUUGAUUGCAGAAAACAAAUAUAGGCCUAAUCGUGCCGUGCUACGUUUGUUUUUUCCGACAGCUGGCAGUUCGUUGGAUGCCAGAUUGAUUUCAAACACACAAGUGAAAAAUAUCUGCAACAGGGAGAAACAAGUAUGAUGAAUCUACGACAGACCUGGCACAAGCAUAUAAGCACGACACCACCACAGCUGCCCUGACACAAGCAUAGUUAAAGAAAUUAGACAUUUAUUUAAAUCCCCCAUGUACAAAGUAUAUGGAGCUAUACUGGAGUCACACUUGUCCGCCGCUCCGUUCGUCCGCCUAUCUAUCAUGUCCACUCGGAAGAUUUUCAUAAAACUGGCAUUAAUUAUCAACCUCUUCAUGACGAUGCAGAGCGCUCAACCCGGGUCACUAGGCCCAAAGUCAGGGUUACCUUUUGAGGUCAAACGUUAAAUAGCUUAACUUCAUGUGCCCGCUCCGUAUAGACUAAUGGCUUGGAAUAUACUAGCCUGACUAUUAGAAGAAUAAGGAGGUUUAUUUACUUGUCACUGUCACCUAUGCAUUCAAAUUAAUUCUCAGUGUCAGUACAUGUGUAUCUUCUUAACUACUGCCCAUAUCUAUAUCACACUUCGGAUAAGGGUUGGUCUUGCUGGGUGACAGACAUCUGUUAGUUUAGGAUCAGUCGUCCUAAAGGUCAACGUCAAUGGGGUCAAUUUGCCGCGUCAAAUACUGUAAAGGUGCUGGUUAAAGUUUUAUGAUAAGCUUCACGCUUUCACUAUAUCUUCUCAGCUUCUACCCUAUAAUCAUCAAACCUCACAUAAAGAUCUUAGGAAGGGGCAGAAAUCUUGUUGGUUUCCUAAGGGUCAGGUAAUUGAAUGGUCAGGGUCACUUGGGUCUGAUUUUGUAACAUUGUUGGAUAAAGGUUUACCGUUUAUGACAAACUUCUCAAUUUGACUUAUAACUCAUAAUGUUUGUUAGCAUUGGUAUUGUUCAUACCAAACACUUUUAAGCCCUACCCACUCCUCUAAUUCAUGCCUUACACAAGUUCAUAUCUCAUAUUUUUCUUAGAUUCUCUCAUCUGCUCUACCUCCUGUCUUCCCCAAUACGCACACACUGCUACCCCAAGCCACUUCCAGAAAAUCCUUUAAUUUCUCACACUUAUAUCUCGUAUUGUAACAUAAAUUUCCUCAUUUCCCCGCGCAUUCCCCCACCUCCAACCCCUCUCCCCCAUCCCCCACCCACAAA
rnacentral:lncRNA from 1 species